UCUUGGACAUCAAUGCUGACCUGUCCAGUGACGGCAAAGGCAUCAACCUGAGGAUCCCGAUCACCGCUGAUGUCUCUGCAAAGCUGCCUCUCAUUGGCAAGUUGGUCGACCUCCAGGUGUCCUUGGACCUCCAGGCUGGAAUCAGGCUCAACACUGACCUCAGCUCCGGCCUCUCCGUUAAGGUCAUUGAAGAAUGCACCUUGGACUCAAACAGCAUCUCAGUCUCCCUGCUGGACAGACGAAUCUACCUGGUCAACAAGCUCUUGGACAGUGUGACCGGUCUCCUGAAAAAGAGUGUGUCCCUUUUACUGCAGAAAACAGUGUGCCCGGUGAUCGAAGGCCUCCUCACAGACCUGAAUGUGGAUCUUCUUCAGAACCUCAUCCGUAAGUCACAGCCGGGCGGGGGUCCCCAGGGCAGGCGUCCCCUCUGCGCCCACCCCAGGCACGCCUGCGGGGA